UGGAAAGUGAAACAUAUUGUAGACAACUACUAUGGUACUCCAAAGCCUCCAGCAGAGCCUGCCCCAUUGUUGCUAAAUGUGACUGACCAGAUUCUCCCAGGUGCAACACCCAGCGCUGAAGGCAAACGCAAAAGAAAUAAGUCAGUGAGCAAUAUGGAAAAAACAGGAAUAGAGCCGCCAGAGGAAGAGGAGGAGGAAAGGCCUGUGGUCAAUGGGAAUGGCAUGGCAAUCA